rnacentral:rRNA from 1 species
UACAGAGGUCUCAAGCGUUGUUCGGAUUCAUUGGGCGUAAAGGGCGCGUAGGCGGCGGGGUAAGUCGGGUGUGAAAUCUCAGAGCUCAACUCUGAAACUGCACUCGAUACUGCUCUGCUUGAGGACUGGAGAGGAGACUGGAAUUCACGGUGUAGCAGUGAAAUGCGUAGAUAUCGUGAGGAAGACCGGUGGCGAAGGCGGAUCUCUGGACAGUUCCUGACGCUGAGGCGCGAAGGCCAGGGGAGCAAACGGG